ensembl:lncRNA
CUGUCACCACCACCACUCCUGCAGCAGCUGUCACCACCACCACUCCUGCAGCAGCUGUCACCACCACCACUCCUGCAGCAGCUGUCACCACCACCACUCCUGCAGCAGCUGUCACCACCACCACUCCUGCAGCAGCUGUCACCACCACCACUCCUGCAGCAGCUGUCACUACCACCACUCCUGCAGCAGCUGUCACUACCACCACUCCUGCAGCAGCUGUCACCACCACCACUCCUGCAGCAGCUGUCACCACCACAGCUUCGGCAGCAACCACUUCCGCUGCUGUCACAUCAACUGACCCUCCAUCUUCUAGUGAAGGAACAAUGAGUCUUCAGUUCCGUCUCAACCAGACGUUCAACUCAGAUCUUUCCAACCCUUCCUCUUCAGGGUUCAAGACUCUGGCUGCCAAAGUGACCUCUGAGGUGAACAAGGCUUUUGCUAAGACCCCAGGCUUCCGUCGUUCCAUUGUCAACUCAUUCAGGAGUGGAUCUGUGGUUACCGACAUGACCCUCGUGUUCGACAAGCAGUCUUCGGUUCCCAGCUUAAGCAACUCACAAGCAAUUCUCACCAGCAGUUCCACCUCCCUGAACAUUAUACCAGGCAGCAUCAGUGAUGGGUCAUCAACCACAUCAGGAAGUGCUCCCCGACCAACUUCCUUCUCUCUGGCUGCCUUGCCUCUCAGUUUGGCUCUGUUAAUGGUACAGCUGCUGGCUAGCUAAUAGCCUGAGGCAUAGCUGCUGUGGCUCUGCUAGCUGCUGGCUAACCAAUAGCCUGAGGCAUAGCUGCUGUGGCAUUGGUUUAACCAAUCAACAGUUUCCCAGCUCUCAUAGAUACAGCCUUAAAGCUAGAAUCCUUAGUUGCUACACCCAUUUUUUUACUUAUAAAUUAAUUAUAUCUACCCAUUGAUUCUAGAAGAAUAUAACAUAUGAAUACCUCAUGAGUUUAGAUCAACUGUCGUACCCCAUCAGAACCCACAAUAUGAGCUUGUUUUACCCCGAUGUUUCUAAACAAUGCAAACAAACACUGUACAGCUUUAAAACAUGAUUAAAACUAUAAUUCUGAUAUCAUGGAUGGUCAGUCCUGGCAUCCAUAGCUCUGUGUAUGAAUUUGAUAGUGGUCACAUUUUAUUACCAAACAAAACAGAGAGCAGGUGUUCAUUUGUGAUUGUUUCAGUUAAUAAGGACUGUAGCUUUAAGAUGCAUUACCUGCUUAAAGCACAAAUUCAAUUUGAGUUAUUAUUUCUAUACCACUGUCUCGUUCUGAACUUCUAAUGCCAGUGGGUGUGGCUUCGUGACAAUGAUCAAGAGCUGCUGCUCACCGAUUGGACAGCUCCAAUGCAGUGACUCCUCCGACCAGCAUAUGCAUGUGUGGUCAGAACUGAUUUGAUUGAAGCUCGGCCCUUAUCUUUGAAAUGACUAUUAUUUAACACUUAACCAUAUAACAGACUAAAAUGAAUUCUUAUUAAUUAUUAUUAAUUUGCACCAGGUACAAAGCAACUUGCACACUAUUUAUCAGUGAAUUAAAAAAAUUAAAUAAAAUAUUUGAAAAAUUAGUUUGCUUUUUAAAAACUUUAAAAAAAUAUAUACAUAUAUAUAUAUAUAUAUUUAAAUGUUUUAUUUGAUCAUAUUUCCCCCUUUAAUUAUUAACUGCUGUUACUAUAUUUACAAUUAAAAUUCACCAAGACCGGGAUGAUAUUUACUUUGAGUGAUUUUGGGCAUAUCAAUGAAAAUGUGGACCACUUCAAUGUUUUAAAACUGUUGUAGAGCCUCUCCUGGUUUGUACUUGUCUUGUUAUUAUUAGAUCUAAUAUAUUAUGUAACACUCGUAGAAUAUAGAUUUGUCCUUUUUUUCAUGACUGUUUGAAUAUAAUGACAUUUGCAUCGCAUGUAAUGACAUCUCUGUGGCUUAGUGGGGGAAUCUAGCAUAGUCUAUGGCUGUCUGGAGUGGUUCUCAAUCAGAGGCAGGUGUUUAUCGUUGUCUCUGAUUGGGAACCAUAUUUAUUCUUUGAGUGUUUGGUGGGUGAUUGUUCCUGUCUCUGUGUUUGUUGUCACCAGAUAGGCUGUUUAGGUUUUCUCACGUUUCUUGUUUUGUUAGUUUAUUCAUGUAUAGUUGUCUUUAUUAAAGAGCCAUGAAUAGAAACCACGCUGCGUUUUGGUCCGACUCUCCUUCACCUCAAGAAAACCGUUACAAUAAUCUCCUUCUAGGGGUACAUCUCAAUAAUCUAGUCUAAUCUCCUUCUAGGGGUACAUCUCAAUAAUCUAGUCUAAUCUCCUUCUAGGGGUACAUCUCAAUAAUCUAGUCUAAUCUCCUUCUAGGGGUACAUCUCAAUAAUCUAGUCUAAACUCCUUCUAGGGGUACAUCUCAAUAAUCU